CCCUUAGAUGUUGUGGGCAGCACGCGCGCUACAAUGGUCUUCGCAAACGGAUGCAUUCUCGAAGGAGAAUGCCAAUCUUGGAAUCUAUGCCUUGGUCGGGACAGUUGCUUGCAAUUUUUCGACUCGAACCAGGAAUUCCUUGUAAUCGUGAUUCAUCACAUCACGAUGAAUACGCCCCUGCCCUUUGUACACACCGCCCGUCGCUCCUACCGAUCGAAGAGUUAGGUGAAUUGUUUUGAUCGAUAAGAUUUGACUAUGGUCAACUCUCGUUGUGAAAUUCUGUGAAUCUGACUGUUUAGAGGAAGGAAAAGUCGUAACA
rnacentral:rRNA from 1 species